UUGUAAUUUGGAGNAGAUGUUUCGGAGGAGAUGAUGGUCCAAGUCCCUUGGAANAGGGCGUCACAGAGGGUGAGAAUCCCGUACGUGACCAAUCAUUGAAACCAAGGGAAACCCUUUCGACGAGUCGAGUUGUUUGGGAAUGCAGCUCUAAAUGGGUGGUAAAUUUCAUCUAAAGCUAAAUACCUGCCAGACACCGAUAGCGCACAAGUAGAGUGAUCGAAAGAUGAAAAGCACUUUGAAAAGACAGUCAAAC
rnacentral:rRNA from 1 species